GGCCAACCGCGCGGCCUCCCCAUCCUCAACGCCUAGCCCCAAUGCACUGCACCCCCGCAUCAUCCACCCCCUCCCUCUCAUCAAGCCUUUUUCUCGACCGCGAUAGUGACGGCGACAAGCCGACAAGCACGACCCCCCUCUGCCUCGCCACGUGUGGCCUCCUCCACCGCCUGGUUUGGAGUUUUCCCAUCCUUGACGGCCCGGUUCGAACCCCGAUCAACUAUCCUCCAGAUCGGAUCAUGGCGACGACGCAAGAGCGAGAUGUGGCGCAGCCCUAACGACGGAGGAGGCGACGUGGAGUAACUAUGUGGUGGCGGAGCGCAAAGUCGACGAAGACUCUCUCUGCCGCCUUCUCACGGUUUGGCUAUCACAUGUCUAAAGUUGUAAGCCUCUCAAACAACCUUUUCCAAUCCUAGGCUACCGAACAAGGAGAAGAAGUGUUCUAGGCAAAAGUGUUCCAAUUGGAUUAAUUCUGGACUAGAAAGAGCGAAAGAGUCGGAUGCACUAAAUCUAGGCCUGAAACAGUUUCUGGCUUGGGACUGUUCCUAUGCUGCCGAACGGGGCCGAGCUGUUUCCAAAUAUAUAUUAUGUGUUGCUACUUUCUUCACAUAUCAUUACUUUAUGUGUUCUUCCUGGUUACAUUUGGCACCAUUGUUGGUAAGACGGUACCACCCACAGUUUUAUUGAGAAAGGCUUUUAAGAUGGUUGUAGUUGCACAAAUUGGAAAAUAAAACUACACUGACUUAAUUUUCCUUUUCUUCUUGUGCUUCACGAAGCUUUACGUUGAUGGAGUUUGUCCCCACCAAUGUCACUGUACCGCAUAAUGGGC